rnacentral:lncRNA from 1 species
CAAGAACAUUUCAGGAUUGAAAGACGUGGCAGCGUGGUGGGAUGUCGUGAGACGAGUAAAGAAUAUUUUAUCGAAUCAUAGAAACAGAUAUACGACAGAUCAAAAAUUUGACACCACUUUAUACCAUCUACGUCUUGUUAUCCAGUCUAUGAUUCUUUCUUUUAGUCUUGUAAAAACGUGGCAUAACAAAAAUGAAAAGAAAAUCUCAGGUAUAUGGAAAUAAUCGAGUUAACCUCAAAAUAAACAUUAAAAUGCCGGAACGCGAGAAAUUGCCGACGGAUGGUAAGGUUCCGGCGGGAACACUAGAAGUUUGGAAAUCUUUCGAAUUUUAAAAAACUUGCUCGACACUGCCAAGAAUUUGUGCAAGAAGUGAAAGUUAGAAAAGUACGAUAACAAGAUUAGAAAAAAGAACAAGCUGCCUGCAACUAAGUUCGUUUACGUAGGAAAGCGACGAGAAGGGAUCAUGCGCAACGAUCGGAAACGCGUCUCUCAGAUUUCAAAUUCACCAUUACCCAUCCGUCUAUAACGUCUCGUCACGCGGACGUUGAAAGUGAAAGAUGUGACGCCCGAUCAGACCAAAGGAUUCGCUUUUCAUACCGGAGGAUGUUGAAGCUCGUGAAAGAUUCACGGCACGUCCAAGAUUCUCUCGAUGCGUCACAUUAAGCGAGUUAUAAGGAUAUAUCCGAAGCGGCGCUAUCAAUAUCACGACGGCAGGAAGUCAGGAGAAAUCACUGUUACGCCUGAUCACUUCCGCUUUGACGAUAAAUCAGAAAACGCGUAAUUUUCAUCUUCCAUUGAAUAAUACAAAUGAAAUGGAGAGACAGAUUUGUUAUGCAGAGAAGCAAUAUUUCAUCUAGAAAUUGCGAACGUAGCGGAAUUUCUAUAUUUAAUCGAUGAUCAAUAAAAAAUUAGGACAUGCAACUUUUUAAUUUCAAGCUUCGAAAGAUCAUUAGACAUUCUCUGUUAAUCUUACUAAAUGAAAUUGGCAAAUAGAAUUACCGCGAGACGAAGCAAAAUUUUACCUGGCGUGUUACAAAGUAAGGAAAUGUAAUAUCCAAUCAACUUGAAAGUUUAUUUUAUAACUGAACGUUCAAUUUUAGUUCCAAAAUUUGGGAGAUCAUUGGACUCUAGGAUCACUGUCUUUGUCUUUAUUCUUCCUAAACAGACGACAAAUAGAAUUGCCGCGGAGCAAAAUUGUAUUCAAAACCUCAAACUAGAAUCUCAAAUUUUAGAAAUAUCAUUCUCGAUAAUAGAUCUUACAAAAUAGAUUAAUACGAUUGAUCUCCAAAUAUUCGUACAAUAACGAUAUUUAUCUAUGCUUGAAUAGGAAACAAUUUCUUUUACCGUGACUCCUUUAUCGAUCUUCCUUUAUUAAUUUAUUAAUAUAAAAUUAAUUCCAAUUUUGCUCGUCUAAAGAUUAAGUAAUAAAGCCGGAGCGGUUGAGGAUUCGUUAAGGGUACUAAAUCAGACGUUCGAUAAUAGAAUUGCAGUUGAUGGUGAUUGCUACACUCUCAGCCGUCAGAAAUUACCUUCUUCAAUUAACCAAAUAAGUUCGGGACGGAAACGCAUGGCUCUGCAGAGACAAAAUCUUGAUUAAGAGAUGCAUCGGACAGGCCGAUGCCAUCCGGCUUGAUGAAUAAAUCGCUAUAGACAGAUCUCAUUAACUGCGUAUCCACUUUCGCGUCUGACCACAACCGUCACGGUUCGCUGUUACUGUUGUGCUCCACUACUUAAGCCAAACGAAACAGUAUUUUUGACUCUGGUCAUAGUAACUUAGAUAUGAGGAGUACUGUAAGAUCGAUCAAGUAAUGCAAUUGAUAGUUGAUUCACGUAUGAGAACAGUAAAGUCCCAGAAAUCUUGGUCAGGAUCGUAUCUCGGCUGUAAUUGUGCUUCAGUUCCUAGCUUCCGUCUCUGUGAGAUUUUUUUAUUAUUGGAAUUUUCUUUUUUAUUAUCGUUUCAUUCAAUUAUCGAGUUUUCCUUCUAUCGUUUUUGUGAGUUCUUUUUUGUUAAAGCUUGUGCGCCCUGGUUCUUUCCUAUUACUACAAGCGUCUUCUUAAAGUUCCUGUACUUUCUUAUCGUUGGAAUUUCUUUUCAGUAUCUUGCACUGCCAUUUUUCAUCGCAGCAAUUCUCUUUUAUCUUUCCUUUUGACUUUCAAGUUCUCUUUUACACCGAGUGGAAUCCGUUUCUUGUUCUCCCCAAACUGCUUUUUUUCACUGCUGGUGUCUUCUUCUUGAUCGUUUCUUGAUACCCUUGCACGUUUCCUUUUAAAUUAUUACAAUCUCCCU